rnacentral:tRNA from 1 species
GGAAGUAUGGGUGAGUGGUUGAAACCAGCACACCGCUAACGUGCUAGACCGUGAAAGGUCUCGAAGGUUCGAAUCCUUCUGCUUCCGCUA